rnacentral:misc_RNA from 1 species
ACAAUUAAAAUAGAUGCAGUGUCACAAUUUCCCAGGACAGCCAAGGUCAAUGGGUUCUGGUCCUAAUUAUUUUCCAGGCUUCCAACUAUCCUAUGUGCUUCACUGCACAUGAAUAUCAAAACUUCAGCAAUAUUGCCAAGAUUAAGAAUGAGUCUCAUAUUCCUAUAAAUGCAAGACUAGUAUAUUUCAGUUCCCAUUCCCUCUAGGGAUUCUAUCUCCUUUGUGUAUGUUCUCAAUUUCAAAGGGUCUGCAAGGGGUAAUCG